UGUGGCCAAUGAUGAUGUUAAAAUGAUGCCUACAUUGGUUGAUUAUUUGCAUGAGAACAUAAUCAUUUUGUUCUGAGGCCAUU